ensembl:lncRNA
AUGGGCUUGUUUAAUGAGCAGGCGAAGUCAUUCAUCUGCAGCCUCACGGUGCUGCAGCAAGGCUACGUCUCCCCCCUCCUGGUUUUCCUUAAAGAGUUUUCCUGGUUUUCCUCCCCUCCUCGUGGCAUGACACAGCCAGCAAAGCAGCUGCGGCCGGCGUGUGUGCAACGCUGUCGUUUAGCAUUGCUUGGGAUAUACCAGCCUCCUUUUCAGCCUGCUCCCUGCCCGAGCUCUGCCCACACCUUCAUGGUUAUUGCUGGGACUGCUGGGGCAGCUGUUGUGCUAAACCGUGGCAGGGAAAUGGCCCUGUUGGUGCUGCCACGGAGGGCGCAGACACACCGUGACCCCCAGCACCUGCUGGGUUUGGAAAGCCAGCCCUGCACCCACAGCACGGGCAUGCCCCCGGCAGCGUGGGCUGCACGGAGCUGGUUUACUCCCCUGACUCGCCCCACGGCUGGAUCCAGGAUCAGGCCUGCAGCUGGCGUGAACCGGCCCAUGGAAAUUCGGUGGAGCCCUGCCAGGCAGCAGCAGCUGAAGCGCUGGCACCAGAAGCUAUUUUUUAUGCAUAAAACUAGCUAUUUUUGCAUGACCUUUGGUUUCACAGCAGCACCAGAAAAGCGUGCAGGCUGCCUUUCCCUUGCGAAAGCGCGAAUGGAAGAUUUUUUAUUUUUUUUUUGCUGGACGCUUGCUUCAAAGACGCAUUCAGGGCAGAUAAGUGAUAGCAUCUGUCAGGGUGCCAUUUUUGCACUGCGCAGCCAGCGUGGGAGCACUCCCUGUCCCCCUGCUCCCUGCCUGCUAAAAACAACUGAAACUAAUUACAUACCAGGAAUACCAGCGUCCCCGCAAAGCCUCUGCCGCACAGCGGCUCUCCCUCGCUCCCUUUUUUCCCUUCCGCCUGAUUCACCAGGGCUUUGGCCGCGCUCCAGGAUUUGGGAGGGUGGGGGAGAGGCAAGGGGGGGGGGCUUGGGAGGGCAGCGGCUUUUUGAGCUCACCGACAGCCUCCCCUCGCUGCGGUCCUGUGCGCUCAUUUCCACUUCACAGAUGCUGCUGAGCUCUGCCAUGGGGAGACAAAUCCCAGAAGUGGAAGGGAGCGUGGCGGGGAGGGAGAGGAUGAAAGCAGUGAAGAGCUGCAUUUAUUAA